UUGUUUUGGCAGCACAUAUACUAAAAUUGGAAUGAUACAGAGAAGAUUAGCAUGGCCCUGCACAAAGAUGAGAUGCAAAUUUGUAAAAUGUUCUGUAUUUUU